UACGGAGGGUGCGAGCGUUGUUCGGAGUUACUGGGCGUAAAGCGAGCGCAGGUGGUUUAAUAAGUCUGAUGUAAAAGGCAGUGGCUCAACCAUUGUGUGCAUUGGAAACUGUUAGACUUGAGUGCAGUAGAGGAGAGUGGAAUUCCAUGUGUAGCGGUGAAAUGCGUAGAUAUAUGGAGGAACACCGGUGGCGAAAGCGGCUCUCUGGACUGUAACUGACACUGAGGCUCGAAAGCGUGGGUAGCAAACAGG
rnacentral:rRNA from 1 species